rnacentral:rRNA from 1 species
GUGGAUUAGAUACCCUGGUAGUCCACGCCCUAAACGAUGCUCACUAGGUGUUGGGGAAGCGAUUCCUUGGUACCGAAGCUAACGCGUGAAGUGAGCCGCCUGGGGAGUACGGCCGCAAGGUUAAAACUCAAAGGAAUUGACGGGGACCCGCACAAGCGGUGGAUGAUGUGGAUUAAUUCGAUGCAACGCGAACAACCUUACCUACCCUUGACAUGUCUGGAAGGCUUCCGAGAGGAGGCUGUGCCUGAAAGGGAACCGGAACACAGGUGCUGCAUGGUUGUCGACAACU